rnacentral:rRNA from 1 species
CCUACGGGUGGCAGCAGUGAGGAAUAUUGGUCAAUGGACGAGAGUCUGAACCAGCCAAGUAGCGUGAAGGAUGACUGCCCUAUGGGUUGUAAACUUCUUUUAUAAAGGAAUAAAACGAGGCACGUGUGCCUUUUUGCAUGUACUUUAUGAAUAAGGAUCGUCGAACUCCGUGCCAGCAGCCGCGGUAAUACGGAGGAUCCGAGCGUUAGCCGGAUUUAUUGGGUUUAACGGGAGCGUAGAUGGGGUGUUAAGUCAGUUGUGAAAGGUUGCGGCUCAACCGUCAAAUUGCAAUUGAGACUGGCAGUCUUGAGUACAGUUGAGGUAGGCGGAAUUCGUGGUGUAGCGGUGAAAUGCUUAGAUAUCACGAAGAACCCCGAUUGCGAAGGCAGCUUACUAAACUGUAACUGACGUUGAUGCUCGAAAGUGUGGGUAUCAAACAGGAUUAGAUACCCGGGUAGUC